UUGAUAGCCAUGACACACUCCCUAAAUACCUCGCUUAUUAUGCUAUAAUAUAUACUCCAGCCCUGUCCGAUAUGGAGCCUUGUGACAAAAAAACAAUUCUAGUACCGAAACUACUGCACUUACGACCAACGGUUGCUGAACUUUUAUGGUCCAAUCACGUACAGCUCGACUGCUAUGGGCAAAAAAUCACGUACAGUUCCACACCCUUGUAUGUUCCUUUUUUCAUGAAAAAAAUCACGUAAAGUUGGUCUGCUCGUUCACAGCCAAUCAUCCCUUUUACAGAGGUCCGGUCUCACUUUCUCCUCAUCACUCAUUCCGCCCCCUUCCCUGUGCUAGCCACUCAUCCAGCUCCUUUGUGUUGCCGCCGGCGCGCAUCCGCACACCGUGCGAUGCUGCGAGUAACCCAUCCCGGACGAACUUCGCAACCCCCGCCUCCGUACCAUCCCUACCGCGUGGCUGUGUCGUCGCGAGCCUCCCACACCCACCCGCACCACUCCAUGCUGUCCGGCGAGAUCCGGGGGGCAGCGCUCUAACGGACGAGCACAAUCGGCGACAUCCACCGCGCGGCGCCCUUUGCCCCGCGCCCCGCCGCCCCCUGCCGCGUGGCGCCAGGCCGGUCGUAAUCUUCUGCUCGCAACGCCUGGCGACUAACGCAAGCCGUGCAAUGCGAGGAGACCCUGCAGCAAACCGUGCUUGCCCGGUUGGGCGGAGAUCGACCAGGAACGAAUCUUACCUUGUCACGGACGGCUCUCCUCUCUCCCUCCGCGUCCAUCAUUGGUAGCUCUAUUGGAUUGGCACCGCUGGUGAAGUUCGAUCUUGGAGGAAACAGUUCAGGAUGGAAAACCUAGGGCAUGAUGAGCUCACAAAGGCGAUUCUCCGCCGUUUGCCACAUAAGAGGCAGAAGACGGCAGGUGAAGAACUGUGAAGAUGACGCCAGGAGGAUGCAACAACAGCCGACGAGCAGCGCUGUUUUGUGAGCAACGUAGGCGAUUCACGUUGAUUGCAUCAGAGGCUCCACCUGGUGCGAGAACGAAGCCGGAAAGAACAAACCUGAUGCAGCAACAGCCGGCGAGCAGUGCUGUUUUGUGAGCAACAGCUGGCGAGCAGUGCUGUUUUAGGUUGAUUGCAUGAGAGGCUCCACCUGAUGCGAGAACGAUGUGACCGGAUGGCUAACUUGCCGGAAGAAUAAACUGUUGUUUUUCUACUGGCGACGUGCGCUCGGGCUGGCGACGUGCGUUGGCUAGGUCGCUGGAGCUGCCCGCGGGGUCGAUGGACCUUGAUCGUGGGUUUGACUCGAUUUGAAUUUUUGGGCCGGUGGUUGUGGGAUGAGCUGGCAUGUUUUAUUGGGCUGA